UGGAGAGAUGGCUGAGUGGUCGAAAGCGACAGAUUGCUAAUCCGUUGUACGAUAAGAACGUACCGAGGGUUCGAAUCCCUCUCUCUCCGUC
rnacentral:tRNA from 1 species